rnacentral:rRNA from 1 species
GAUGAACGCUGGCGGCGUGCUUAACACAUGCAGGUCGAACGAAGCAUUUAUUAUGAAGUUUUCGGAUGGAUUAAUUUAUGACUUAGUGGCGGACGGGUGAGUAACGCGUGGGUAACCUGCCUCAUACAGGGGGAUAACAGUUGGAAACGACUGCUAAGACCGCAUAAGCCUACAGUACCGCAUGGUACAGGAGGAAAAAAUUUAUUGGUAUGGGAUGGACCCGCGUCUGAUUAGCUAAUUGGUAAGGUAACGGCUUACCAAGGCGACGAUCAGUAGCCGACUUGAGAGAGUGAUCGGCCACAUUGGGACUGAGACACGGCCCAAACUCCUACGGGAGGCAGCAGUGGGGAAUAUUGCACAAUGGGGGAAACCCUGAUGCAGCGACGCCGCGUGAGUGAAGAAGUAUUUCGGUAUGUAAAGCUCUAUCAGCAGGGAAGAUAAUGACGGUACCUGACUAAGAAGCCCCGGCUAACUACGUGCCAGCCGCCGCCGUAAUAC